CUGACAGAAGAGAGUGAGCACACGCAGGUAAUUGUAUUAGAAAAUAUCUUUGCAGGUGCGUGCUCGCUCCUCUUCUGUCAG
rfam:Citrus clementina cultivar Clemenules unplaced genomic scaffold scaffold_1, whole genome shotgun sequence.